AGAGUUUGAUCCUGGCUCAGAUUGAACGCUGGCGGCAUGCUUUACACAUGCAAGUCGAACGCGGUCGGGGGGCAACUCCUGACUGAGUGGCGAACGGGUGAGUAAUACAUCGGAACGUACCCCGUUGUGGGGGAUAACCCACCGAAAGGUGGGCUAAUACCGCAUACGCCCCGAGGGGGAAAGCGGGGGACCUGAGAGGGCCUCGCGCGAUGGGAGCGGCCGAUGUCGGAUUAGCUAGUAGGUUGGGUAAAGGCUGACCUAGGCGACGAUCCGUAGCUGGUCUGAGAGGAUGAUCAGCCACACUGGGACUGAGACACGGCCCAGACUCCUACGGGAGGCAGCAGUGGGGAAUUUUGGACAAUGGGGGCAACCCUGAUCCAGCCAUGCCGCGUGAGUGAAGAAGGCCUUCGGGUUGUAAAGCUCUUUCGGCCGGAACGAAAUCGCAUCUUCUAAUACGGGGUGUGGAUGACGGUACCGGAAGAAGAAGCACCGGCUAACUACGUGCCAGCAGCCGCGGUAAUACGUAGGGUGCGAGCGUUAAUCGGAAUUACUGGGCGUAAAGCGUGCGCAGGCGGCUCUUCAAGUCAGAUGUGAAAGCCCCGGGCUUAACCUGGGAACUGCGUUUGAAACUGGAGGGCUAGAGUGUGGCAGAGGGAGGUGGAAUUCCACGUAGCAGUGAAAUGCGUAGAGAUGUGGAGGAACACCGAUGGCGAAGGCAGCCUCCUGGGCCAACACUGACGCUCAGGCACGAAAGCGUGGGGAGCAAACAGGAUUAGAUACCCUAGUAGUCC
rnacentral:rRNA from 1 species